GGACGAACGCUGGCGGCGUGGAUUAGGCAUGCAAGUCGAACGGUAUCAUCCUUUCGGGGGUGAGAGAGUGGCGAACUGGUGAGUAACACGUAGGUUAUCUACCCUCAAGACGGGGACAACCCAGGGAAACUUGGGCUAAUACCGGAUGUGAGCAACUUUUUAGUUGUUUGAAAGGUGGCGUAAGCUGUCGCUUGGGGAUGAGCCUGCGUCCUAUUAGUUAGUUGGUGAGGUAACGGCUCACCUAGGCAAUGAUAGGUAGGCGGCCUUAACGGGUAGUCGCCCACACUGGGAUUGAGAUACGGCCCAGACUCCUACGGGAGGCAGCAGUCGAGAAUAGUCUACAAUGGUCGGAAGACUGAUAGUGCGACGCCGCGUGAACGAUGAAUCCCUUCGGGGUGUAAAGUUCUUUUAUAUGUGAGCAGUGCUUCUUAUAUUAAGAGUAUGGGGAGAGAGAUAUUAGCAUAUGAAUAAGCAACGGCUAACUCCGUGCCAGCAGCCGCGGUAACACGGGGGUUGCGAGCGUUGUCCGGAAUUACUAGGCGUAAAGGGCAGGCAGGCGGAUCCAUAAGUUUAUCGUUUAAGGCGUCGGCUUAACCGGCGUAGGGCGGUAGAUACUGUGGAUCUGGAAUGCGGUUGGGGAAGACAGAAUUCCUGGUGUAGCGGUGGAAUGCGCAGAGAUCAGGAGGAAUACCGAAGGCGAAGGCAGUCUUCCAAGCCGUUAUUGACGCUCAACUGCGAAGGUGUGGGUAUCAAACAGGAUUAGAUACCCUGGUAGUCCACACAGUAAACGAUAAUCACUGGGUGUCGGGUUCGCAUAGGAUUCGGUGCCGUAGCUAACGCGUUAAGUGAUUCGCCUGGGGAGUACGAUCGCAAGGUUGAAACUCAAAGGAAUUGACGGGGGCCCGCACAAGCGGUGGAGCAUGUGGUUUAAUUCGAAGCAACGCGAAGAACCUUACCCGGUCUUGACAUCCGAGGGAUCCCUCAGAGAUGGGGGAGUGCCGGCUAGCCGGAACUUCGAGACAGGUGCUGCAUGGCUGUCGUCAGCUCGCGUCGUGAGAUGUUGGGUUAAGUCCCGCAACGAGCGCAACCCCUGCUUCCAGUUACCAUCAUUAAGUUGGGGACUCUGGAAGGACCGCUGCGGUAACAACGCAGAGGAAGAUGGGGACGAUGUCAAGUCAUCAUGGUCCUUAUGACCGGGGCUACACACGUGCUACAAUGGUAGUUACAGAGGGAUGCGAAGGGGUGACCUGGAGCUAAUCUCUUAAAAGCUGCCACAGUUCGGAUUGAGGUCUGCAACUCGACCUCAUGAAGCAGGAAUCGCUAGUAAUCGCGCAACAUCAUGGCGCGGUGAAUACGUUCCCGGGCCU
rnacentral:rRNA from 1 species